UACGGAGGGUGCGAGCGUUGUCCGGAAUCACUGGGCGUAAAGGGCGCGUAGGUGGCCGCGCAAGGUCGCGGUGAAAGCCCGGGGCUCAACCCCGGGUCGGCCGUGGCAACUACUGGGCUGGAGCACUGUAGGGGCAGAUGGAAUUCCGGGUGUAGCGGUGGAAUGCGUAGAGAUCCGGAAGAACACCGGUGGCGAAGGCGGUCUGCUGGGCAGUUGCUGACACUGAGGCGCGACAGCGUGGGGAGCAAACAGG
rnacentral:rRNA from 1 species